UACGUAGGGUGCGAGCGUUAAUCGGAAUUACUGGGCGUAAAGAGUGCGUAGACGGUUCUUGAAGUCCGCUGUGAAAGCCCCGGGCUUAACCUGGGAACUGCAUUUGUGACUGGCAGGCUAGAGUAUGGCAGAGGGGGGUAGAAUUCCACGUGUAGCAGUGAAAUGCGUAGAGAUGUGGAGGAAUACCGAUGGCGAAGGCAGCCCCCUGGGCCAAUACUGACGCUCAUGCACGAAAGCGUGGGGAGCAAACAGG
rnacentral:rRNA from 1 species